CCUACGGGUGGCUGCAGUGAGGAAUAUUGGUCAAUGGGCUUACGCCUGAACCAGCCAAGUCGCGUGAGGGAAGACUGCCCUAUGGGUUGUAAACCUCUUUUGCCAGGGAGCAACGCCGGCCACGUGUGGCCGGACUGAGAGUACCUGAAGAAAAAGCAUCGGCUAACUCCGUGCCAGCAGCCGCGGUAAUACGGAGGAUGCGAGCGUUAUCCGGAUUUAUUGGGUUUAAAGGGUGCGUAGGCGGACUGCUAAGUCAGCGGUAAAAUCGCGGGGCUCAACCCCGCCGAGCCGUUGGAACUGGCGGUCUUGAGUGGGCGAGAAGUAUGCGGAAUGCGUGGUGUAGCGGUGAAAUGCAUAGAUAUCACGCAGAACGCCGAUUGCGAAGGCAGCAUACCGGCGCCCAACUGACGCUGAAGCACGAAAGCGUGGGGAUCGAACAGGAUUAGAUACCCGAGUAGUC
rnacentral:rRNA from 1 species